rnacentral:lncRNA from 1 species
AAAAGCACCAAUAAAAAAAGGGGUAGACCCAAAGUACACAAGAAGUAUACAAAGAUUGCCAAAGGGUGAGAAACAACAAAAGAAAACACAAGCAACACCAGUUAGCUAUAGCCCUACCUCUCCUCAAUUGGUUCAGUGUCAUAAUUUUUCCCCAAACCACAUCCCAAGCAAAGAAAUCCACCUUUAGAUUAGCAUAGGAACUCCAAAAUUCUUUGACUAAGAAAGGAUCUACUAAAACUAUCACCAAAGAGCUAUAGUAGAAUCUCACAGAGAACUUCUCGUCCUUAUUCAAUUUUAAAACCAACUUUUCCUCAUGCUCUCUUCUGGCGAUCAUUUCCUGAAUCUUCUUAAGGAAGGCUUCAACCAUUUCUACCUCCCAAUCUUGAGCAUUUUUGAAAAAACAAGGGCUCUAAUGUCCAACACAUCCCACCUCCUCCCAAACUUUUCUACUACCCAAGCAUCCUUAGAAUUGGCAAUGAGUACAAAGUAAGAUAAAAGGCUCUCAAAGAAGAAUCAACACCGUUGGGAACCCUAGAUUACCCUGUUCACUGGCCCUGGAUCUUAUAGGGUGCAUGCAAGGCUCUCUAGAUCUAAUGCAAUAGAAAACAAUGGCUACAAAAACCAUUAUCAAAUAUAAAUCUAGAUAUUAGAACUUUAUACCUGCAAUUUGGAUGUUCCCAAAUUGAAUCCUAAUGGAUGAAGAUGUCAAAAACGCCGUAGAACUCGUCUACCCAGUGUUCCUCCACCUGAUCUCCCCUCACAUGGGUCUAAGCACAAGAGAAGGGUGGGCGUCUCUCUCUCCCAUGAGGAUGGUUGGGGAUUCUCUCUAAAGGCUAUCUGGAAGAUAGAAAAUGGAAAAAGUGUCAACUCUAAACCCCUAAGGGGGUUUAUAUGGGGCUCCCUAUGUGCUUAAGUGACAAGCCCAAAUUGGCUUGUCAAUUCAUAAGAUAUAGUGCAACCUUGUGUUUUUACCAAAAUGCUCUUAUGCAUACUUAAGAACCAAAAACCUAAAUCCUUCAAAUAAAAUGCGUCUCUAUAAAUUAGAAGCUCAAGUAGGGACCACUAGGACUCAUAUGAAAAUAUCAAUUCCCUUAAAAUCCAAUUCUGAUGUUGACUCAAUACUCCACUAAAGAGAAUCAAUUGCACCUCAGUAUCCUAUGAAGUUACAACGAGUUAAAGCUCGAUUUGUGACCUAUUAUUCAUUACAUACAGACUUCCCACAAACUGGUGUUCAUAAUCUAACAAGGUAGAGUUAUCAACCUAUCAAGAUUACCUUUUCAAUCCUUAAGUUAUAGAUCCUUCUAUUAUAUGAUCAACAUACUUUAGCUUUUUUUUUUUCUUUUUUUUUUUGUUGAUAGGUUAACAAAGCAAAUACAUUAAAAGCGCUUGGAAAAGGUGCACAAAGUACACACGGAAUAUACAAGUAGCAGCCAAAUACAAGCAAAGGAAAGAUAGACAACAAACCAACACCCAAAACAAAAGACAUCACCCUAAAGCCUAGAAAAAUAAGAAUCCAGACUUAACCAACAUUUAGGUGAGAGCAACUUGAAACUCCACUAUUUUUCCUUAUCAAACAGACUAAUGCCAAGAAGCUAGGCCAACCAAUCACAACCCUAAAAACUCAACUUAUAAGGUCACUUACAAACCAACUCCCACCCACUGCUUCGAUUUUUCUCUUUUUUUUUUUUUUUUUUUGUUUAAACUACAGUAAUAAUCCAGACACUCCAAAUUUCGAAGCUCCCUAACUAGAUGGGGUGUGAAGGGGGGUCUCCUCUUCGCAACCGAAAGUCUACGCCAUUUUCUAGAUUCCAACUUUCUCAACAAGGACAUGAUUUCCUUUUCAUUCCCAUAAACUUGCUAAACAAGAUGAAUUUUUUAUAGGAGAGAUCAAAGAGCCUCUCUCAUUUCAACGAGCCCCUACUAGGGCUCUCAAAACCCAACACCCCCUCUUCACCACUCUCCUCUAAGAUAGCAAUCUUGGUAACCUUAGGCUGGUUCUUUGGGCCUUCCACAACCACAUCCUCGCCAGAUAACAUACACAAAGGCUUGCAAACAUCUUUUGAAAUACCCUCAUCCUGCUCUCUCCAAGAAACCCCAAGGAACAAACCUCACCAUUGGACAAAGAGAAAGUUGAAGAAAAAGACCCUUCCCCCAUCGAACCAUUUGGAAUUGAAGACUUACCGGUGAGGCGUUCCACUAAAAAUCUUGUUGCUUCCUCCACAAGGGCCCUAUCAGUUAGAAGGAGGCAAAGAGACAAGGAUGAAGGCAACAGAACCUUGUUGCCAUCAAUAGGGUCAUCGUCUGCAACAAUUGGAAACUUUGAAGCUUCAUCAAAAAGGGCUCCAUCGACAAGCAAGGCACGCGAAAACAUCACCACAACUUCUCCAGUAAAGCAUAAGCCUAAGUUAUCAUCUCUAAGCCUUAAAGAGACCCACUCCAAAGUGGGCUUUACUAGCAAGCCCUCAUUCUGCUCCAAAACAGACCGAAAAAGAAGGCUCUUUAAAGGCCCACUAAACUAGGAUUUUGAAGGCCCAUAAGAAAAGUGGCCUAAAACCUCUAAAGCCCCAUAGCCCACAUCCACAAGCCCACUAACACUCCUCCCCUUCCUAGGUCUCACCCCACAAACUUCGACAAUAGUCAAACCCCCCUCCCCUUUGCUCAGUCCUCUACUACAACUCCUAUCACCUUUUCAGGGACUGACUCCCUUUCCUCACUCAACCUUCCACCACUCAACACUAGCCCUACACCAUUUGCUUUACCUCUUUGACCAUGCAACAUAACAUGCCCACUUUAGUCACCAGCACGUCUCCCCAUCCUCUUCAUCCCUAACCUCUCGACUAAAACAUCUCUCACCUUGGACCACCUUCAAAAGCCAUGUAGAGACCUCCAACCAAAGUUGGACUACAAAGCAUGAAAAGCUCAUUGUGAUUUGAACUAAAUCCACAUACUCCAACUUAUAAAGAACAUAUGUCAAAUUCUACUUAAGGAAUUACUACAGUCAUAGAGUUCAUUAUUACAUGUCCUUUGAAUCAUCUAAGGGGACACGUUGUCUUAAUCCCAUAAGAUAUCAUGGUGCCUCUAUUGAGAAUACUUGUUGUCAAGACAAGUCAUCCCUCUAAUUAGGAGGAUAGUGCACUAUAGACUCUACUAGAUUGCUCAAAUCCAUUAUUCAACUGUAAACAAUUUAUCAUCUUAUAAGGAACUCAUGACUCGUAUCCUUUGUGUAACUCCUAAUACACUCAAAUCAUGUACAAUGCAAGUGACAUGGCUUGAAGGCUUAAAUCAAAAUCAAUGUGUACAAGGGAUAGAUAAGUGGAAACUCAAGUCCAACUUUAUUACAUCAUGUCUUGCUUUUAAGGGCCCUAUCAAAACAAACACAUCAUAGCUCAUGGAAAAAGCCAACUCUCCUACCAUUGCCUACUUCAAAUCUGAUCCUAGCCUGAAACUCUAUCUACCUCUCCUCAUAGAUUUCCACAACCCCACCCUAUAUCCUUCCUCCCCUUAACUAAGAACACUGACCCAUCCUUUCACCAAACUUAGUUGAGAUCAUCCAUCCCCACAACCUAUCCCUCUCCAUAGCAAACCACCAACACUAUUUUCCAAGAAGGGCUUUGUUGAACCAAGACAAUUUCCAAAUAUAAGUCCCUUUGAAUCUUUAGAUAGAAACUCGUUUUUAGCACUAAUGAUUCAUUGGGAUACUAUUUUGAAAGACUAUGUUACACUCCGUAUUAAGCCUUAUGAGCAUGUAAGUUAGCCUCAUUGAUAUCCAGUUGCACUAAUAUCGGAUCCCCUAAGAAGUUCUAACCCCCUCACUUCAUUUGUAUGGAUAUCGAGUACACUUUUCUUUUUUUUUCUUUUUUUGAUAGGCAAGAUAUCGAGUACACACUACAUGUAGUAUUCUAAUAAAAUUUCAUCACUUGCUAAUGGAAGAGAAGACAUAGAUAAGGAAAUAUUUUGCAAUGAUAUCAACAUUGAGACCAUGAAGUUUUCAUGAUAUCUUGUGUCUACUAAAAAUUGAAUAAUUGUCCAAUGAAGAAAUGAGAAUAUGAUAACAAUGGUGUGCAUCAAUGCAUCUAUGGAUAAUAAUAAUGGUGAGGAAGGUAAACUAAUAAAAAGGCUAGCUUCUCGUAAAUUUACACACCAAUGAAGUAAGAGCAUCAACAAUAAACUAUCUAGCAAGCAAAAAAGAGACUUGUAACAAUACAAGAAAAACAUCCUUAACUCACAUAGUAAAAUCCUUAAAGCAGAGGCUACCAUUUACCUAGAAUUAAGAGGAACUUUUAUCUUUUUCCCCUCUUGUUGUUGGACUCCCAUGAUAGAUGCAUCAAGCUCCACAGAACCAUUAUUGACAUGCAAAAACUGCACUCAACAUAUUUGAGAUAGCUUACAACAAAAGUAAGAUAAAACUGAAAGAUUUCACAUUGUGAUCCUUUGCUCCAUUCCAAUUCAAGAAAGUAUUGAAAAGGUUUGUCUUUCUUUUUUCUUUCUUUAUUUUUUUUUAUUAAGCAAGAGAAAAAAUAUAUUAAUGAAAGGGGACUAUACACCAAGGUACACAUUUGUAUACAAGGGAAAGCAAAAGGCAUAACCAAAAUGAGGGAAAAUACAAAAAUACUGCUCCCUCCCUCAAUUAAACCCCACCCAAUCAACAAACUCAAAUAAAGACAAAGUUUCUUCUACAAUGUACAUCCUAACCCAAGACAACAAAUUAAUCACAAAUGAACUCUUCAAAUAAUGAACUGAUUCUUUUGUUUUUUCAAACACUCUUCAAUUUCUCUAUUUCCACAAAGUCCAAAAAAUCACAAAGCAGGACAGCUCUCCAAACCUUCUUUCAAAGAAACAUUAAAGGCUCCUGGUGGGGGUAAGCGGUCCUACGCGAGUGUCGUGGCCUACCUUUUCACAUUAUUCUCUUAAGAAGAUGGUCACCAGAAGAAAACAUUGAGAUAUAUGGGAAGUUCAAACGGGGUUGGAUUGAAUUGAGGGGCCUACCUUUCCAUCUUUGGUCGGAGAUCCACUUCCAACAAGUGUUGAAAUGGUGAGGAUGGGUUGCAGAGAUAGACAAGCGUACUUUAAAGCUAGCAGAUUUAUCAAAAGCUUUGCUGAGAGUGGAGAUGAAUCCGUACGUUGUGCUUCCUUCAUUGUUGGAAGUCAAAGAUUGGAUUUUCACGGUGGUAGUUUCAGUUGUCGAAAGGGAAGAAGGUGGUAUACAAGGAAGACUUGAGUCAACUCACAGCAGAGAUGAGUUGGACACAGCGGGAGGUUGCGUGCAACAUGGUUUUUCCUCAAGCUCUGAGGAUACAUGGCGAGGUUAGGGAGAGGUUGGGUUACAACUAUCAUCUACCUUCUCUUGGUUCAAACUCCUUUUCAAAUUUAAAAUUAAAGAAGGUCGAUGACUUAUUGGGGAAGGAAGGCUGAGCGAGGGAGCAUUUAAGCCCUUUUGAAAAAGGAGGCCCAAGUUUCUCCAAAGCCUUUUUUGUUAAAGACGGGGUGGUAAAUGAAGCAAGCCCAACUUACUUCAAUGCCCAUUCAAAUGAAGGUAGGCCCACAAUUAGAGCUCGCUCUCAUGUAAGCCCUUUUCUUGGAAAGGCUUUGGACCCCAUUCCUCACCUUCAAGAAGACGAGCCCUUUUUGUUAGCUCUACAGAAAGGAGCCUUGUUGCAACUUCAGCAAGACGCAGGUACAUCCAGAGUUUGACUAGUCUAAGAAGGUUCCCACCGUUGCGCCAGCACUACAAUUCCCAAGCCAAGGAAGGAGUUUUGUUAGCCAUUGAGCGAGAAGUAUGCCUCCACCUUUCUUUUCUCCUCCAACACUAAAUCUUAAGGCUAGUAAUGAGGUUGAGGCCAAAGAAAGGCUACUCUAGGAGAGAGGAUUUUUUAUGGAGGGGGAGAAUUCUUUAGGGAAAGUGAAUCGGGGCUUCAACCCCUCGAAGACAGCAAGUUUGUCAAAGGAACAAGGUGCAACUAAGAUGGAAAAGGGAAUUUGGAACCUCAAUUCAGUGAGAUUGGGGGGAGCGUUAGGAGGGACUGAGGGUGGAGAUAGUGUUCCCCUUUGUGGUAGUCAAUCUCAGGUACACACUUCUUUACCACUUUUCACUAUUGAAGGCCAAACAUUAGAUGGGGCUACUAAUGUGUCUUUUCCUCUUUCAUCCCUUGUUAUUUCUUCUCACUCCUUUGUUCAAUCCUUGCUUUCCUUAUCUCUUCCUUUGAGAUCAAAUUGUUGCUCCUCUUUCUCCUCGUCUAAACAACUAGUGAGUAACAAUUUUCCUUCUGGCUUAAUUGUUGCUUGUCUCAUUUCAAAAGGCGUGGCAUCCCCUUUAGUCAAAGCAAACCAAGAGUUAAAGGUAACUCUUCAGAUAGGCCACCACAACACAACCCUAGUGAGCUUUUUUCUCUAGAAAGUUGUCUACCUAUGGAGUUUGGACCUGCUCAAUUGGAAGAUUUCCAUAUAGAAGGCAUAUCUCCUUCAAAAAUGGCUUCUAUUCACUCGGGUCUUGGGAGCAAUGAAUGGUAAGAUAGUCAAAUACAGUGAAAAUGGCAUCCUUCCGGGUAAUAGCACUGCUCAUUCUAUGGAUAAGGUCCACUCCAAGAGGAAGAACAAACACUUCUUUUGUGGUCCCAUAGGCUUCUUUGGAUCUAGUCUCUUUGGUUUUAACUAGGUCUUCUCUAUUUUUAUGAAAAUCAUUAGUUGGAAUGCGAGAGGUCAUGAGUCUAGAAAGAAAAGAAGGGUAGUGAAGGAUUUUCUUGGUCAAGAAAAUCGAGAUGCAGUUAUGUUGCAGGAAACAAAGAGGGAGUCGUGGGAUAGGCAAUUUAUGAGUAGUGUGUGGAAAGUCAUAAAUAAAGAAUGGGUUGCUCUCCCAACUAGUGGGACUUUGGGAGGAGAGGCAAUUGUUUGGGAUGCUCUGAAAUGUAGGUGUUUAGAGGUUGUCUUAGGGUCUUUCACGAUAAUUGUAAAGCUGGAAUAAGAAGAAGAAGGGUGUUUUUGGCUCACUUCAGUUUAUGGUCCUAAUAAUUCCCUUCUCAUAAAGGAUUUUUGGGCAAAGCUACAAGAUCUUUCAGGUUUAACUUUCCCGAAAUGUGUGUUGAUGGGGAUUUUAAUGUUAUAAGAACUUCAGAAAAGUUAGAAGGAUCCAAAUUAACUCCAAGUAUGAGGGAUUUUGAUGAAUUCAUAAGAGAAAGUGAGUUAAGCGACCCUCCUCUUAGGAAUGCAUCCUUCACAUGGACAAAUUUGCAACAAUCUCCUGUUUGCAAGAUGUUGGGUAGAUUUUUACUACCAAGUGAGUGGGAAUAAGGAUUCCCUCAUAGCAUCCAAGAGGCGCUUCCCAAAAUGACAUCAAACCAUUGUCCCAUUGCGUUAGACGCCAAUCCUUUUCAAUGAGGUCCAACACCUUUUAGUUUUGAAAACAAGUGGUUUCCAGAUUUCAAGGAAAAGUUUUGUUGGUGUUGGAAUGAGAGUAGGCUUGAAGGUUGGGAAGGUUAUAAAUUCAUGAAAAAGCUACCGUUUGUCAAGUCAAAGUUAAAAAAGUGGAAUAAGGUGUCAUUGAAGAUUUAAAGGAGAAAAACAAAAGUAUUCUCACGGGCAUUGUUGACUUAGAUGCGAAGGAGCAAAAAAGGAAUUUGACUCCUGAACUUAUAGCAAGAAGGACCUUAAGGAAAGGGGAAUGGGAAGAGGUGUUGUUUAAAUGAAGAGGUGUUUUAGAGGAAACAAUCAAGAGUUAAAUGUAUAAGAAAAGGGGAUUGCAACACUACUUUUUAGAAAAUCAAGCGUCGAUUAGCUUGAUCAUCCUUUUUUAGAAAAUGAGAUUCACAAUGUUAUGUUGCACUUAAACAAGGAAAAGGCACCUGGGUCAGAUGGUUUCACCUUUGCUCUAUAUCAGGAGUGUUGGGAGACGAUUAAGGACGAUCUUUUAAGAGUGUUCUUAGGGUUUCACAAUAAUGGGAUGAUCAAUCAAAGCACCAACUCUACCUUCAUUGUUUUAGUACCAAAAAAAAAGUCAAACUAGUAGAAUCUCGGAUUUUCAACCUAUCAAUCAGGUUACUAGCUUGUGCAAAAUCAUAACUAAGGUACUUUUAGGGCAAUUACAUAAAGUCCUCCAAGACACCAUUUUCAUGCCCCAAGGAGCCUUUGUGGAGGAAAGACAAAUUUUGGAUGUCGUCUUGAUUGCUAAUGAGUUGGUGGAUGAGAAGAGGAGAUCAGGAGAGGAAAGGGUAGUUUUCAAAAUUGAUUUUGAAAAGGCCUAUAAACCAUGUUGAUUGGGAUUUUUUGAACCAUGUACUUGAACAAAAAGGGUUUAGUUCAAAAUGGAGGUCUUGGAUGAGGGGAUGUUUGUCUUCUGCAACUUUUGCAAUCUUAGUAAAUGGAAAUGCUAAGGGUUGGGUGAAGGCUUCUAGAGGCUUAAGACAAGGAGAUCCUCUUUCGCCUUUUCUUUUCACCAUUGUGGCUGAUGUUUUUAGUAGAUUGUUGAUGAGAAUGGAGAAAAGAGGUUUGCUUGAGAGGUUUUAAGUGGGCAGAAACAGGACUAGAGUCUCUUAUUUACAAUUUGUUAAUGACACUAUCUUUUUUUCUAGAGCUUCCUUGGAAGAAUUGCAAACCCUUAAGCUCAUUUUAUUGGUUUUUGGAAGGGUCUCUGGGCUUAGGAUCAAUCUUAAUAAGAGCACGCUUUCUAGAAUCAAAAUUAAUCAAGAUCAAAUCUUCAAGAUGGCUUUAAUGCUUAAUUGUUCAGUCUCGGAUUGGCCUUUAACAUAGCUGGGUCUUCCUUUUGGGGGAAAUCCAAAAUCAAGUUCAAAAAAAGAUCCAUUGAUUGAUAGAGUCUCUAGGAGGUUGGAUGGAUGGAAAAAAUCUUUUUUGUCCCUAGGAGAUAAAAUCACUCUAAUCUAGUCUUGUUUGUCGCACAUCCUAAGCUACUUCGUAUCCCUUUUCAAAAUUCUAGUAUAUAUAGCAUCAAGGAUUGAAAAAUGUAAAGAGAUUUUUUGUGGUAGGGUUUUGGGGAGGGUAAAAAAGACCACUUGGUCAAUUAGGAUCUAGUGUGUAAGCCUAAGGAGUUAGGUGGUUUACAGUUAGGGAAACUUACUUUGAGAAAUCAAGUUUUAUUAGGGAAGUGGCUUUAGAGGUAUGCUAAGGAAAGUUUCACCCUUUGGCAUCAAGUUAUUUUAAGUAUCCAUGAGACACAUCCUAAUGGAUAGGAUGCCAAUAAUUUAGUUAAA